AGAGGAUGUGGACAAAUAGGAAAGCUUGCACACUGUUGGUGGGAGUGUAAAUUAGUUCAAUCAUUGUGGAAGACAGUGUGGCAAUUCCUCAAGGAUCUAGAACCAGAAAUACCAUUUAACCCAACAAUCCCAUUACUGGAUAUAUACCCAAAGGAUUAUAAAUCAUUCUACUAUAAAGACACAUGUACACAUAUGUUUAUUGCAGCACUGUUCACAGUAGCAACCCAAAUGUCCAUCAGUGAUUGAUAGACUGGAUAAAGAAAAUGUGGCACAUAUAUACCAUGGAAUACUAUGGAGCCAUAAAAAAUGAUGAGUUCAUGUUCUUUGCAGGCACAUGGAUGAAGCUGGAAACCACCAUUCUCAUCAAACUAACACAGGAACAGAAAACCAAACACCACAUGUUCUCACUCAUAAGUGAGAGUUGAACAAUGAGAACAGACAGACACAGGGAGGGGAACAACACACACCGGGGCCUGUUGGGUGGUAGGGGGCUAUGGGAGGGAUAGCAUUAGGAGAAAUACCUAAUGUAGGUGACGGGUUGAUGGGUGCAGCAAACCACCAUGGCACGUGUGUACCUAUGUAACAAAACUGCACGUUUUGUACAUGUACCCUAGAACUUAUAAAAAUAAAAAAAAUUUGCACUGAAGAGCAAACAAAAACCACAACAAUUCCAGGUAAAUGCUUUUAAAUUAGAGCAGGUCAACCUAAUUGUUUUUUGCUUUUCAGACUGGCAACUCUUGAGAAUCUCAUAAUUUUCCAUAAAAUCUAUAAAUAAGUAUUCCUCUUUCAAAAGGAGUACAGGGCCCCCUCUGCUGGGAUCCAGGAACAAGCUAGCAAGGCCUCCAGACAGGGGAUUUCCACUGAUCCUUUGUCACUACUGAGCCCAAAAGUGCACGGGCAGCAAGUUACCAAAUCGCCUUCCACAAGGUCUACAAACCCAUCUGGGACACAUGGCAGGGACCAACACGCUUCUAGACUUCCCAUGUUCCAAGUCCACUUCUGCCGGCAGAAUAGAAACCUCGUCAGUUAUCACAACUCAGAUGAAAAAGCCUCACAGCUUGCGGUGUUGACAGUAUUCUAGAAGACCCUACACCCCUGUGGCUUCUCGAUGACUAAUGUGGAGCCAGCAUCUGUCAGCACAAACUCAGAGUGAUUACCCAGAAAUAGGUAUCCUUCUAAUUAAAAUAUCUGACCAUGUCCCCAUCAGCCACUUGCCUCAUUUGGGACACCACCAACCAUCCUGCACGGCUGCCCAUGUUUCUGUUUCUCCAGCCCAAGCAUGCAGUUUCAGUAGGUCCUUCAGAGGCUGCCUGAAAGGAGCUCCUGAAUUUCACAGACAAAUCCAGACCCCUGUGUGGAAAGCCUGCGGUGGUGUUCUCCGUCUUCCCACAGGACUCCCUGCAGCCAGGAAUUCUAGGGGAGCACCUGACGCGAGGUAUACGCCCAGAUGGCCUGAAGUAACUGAAGAAUCACAAAAGAAGUGAAAAUGUCCUGCCCCGCCUUAACUGAUGACAUUCCACCACAAAGGAAGUGUCAAUGGCUGGUCCUUGCCUUAACUGAUGACAUUCCACCGCAAAAGAAGUGAAAAUGGCCGGUCCUUGCCUUAACUGAUGACAUUACACCACAAAAGAAGUGAAAAUGGCCGGUCCUUGCCUUAAGUGAUGGCAUUACCUUGUGAAAGUCCUUUUCCUGGCUCAUUCUGGCUCAAAAUCACCCCCACUGAGCACCUUGUGACCCCCACUCCUGCCCGCCAGGGAACAAUCCCCCUUUGACUGUAAUUUUCCUUUACCUACCCAAAUCUUAUAAAAUGGCCCCACCCCUAUCUCCCUUUGCUGACUCUCUUUUUGGACUCAGCCUGCCUGCAUCCAGGUGAUUAAAAGCUUUUAUUGCUCACACA
rnacentral:lncRNA from 1 species